AAGGGCUCCGUCUCCUCGGACCCAAGACCAAGGCCUGGGUGGCAGGGACACGUGACCUGUCUGUUUGGAAGCUGUGGGGACUGUUCCUCAGGCCCAGGCCGCCGACGGUUGUAGAGCCCACGAGCCCGGCCCGUCUCCGCGGUGAACGGCUCGCCGAAGAGGCCUCUGGGAAUUGUAGUUGGGGCGGGGGGGGGCGGGGGAGCCGGGCCAGUGCGCGAGGUCCGAGCUGCGACCGUUACUCGCCUCCGCGGUCGGAGAGAGCUCGGGGGUCGCAGCCACACCCGCCCUUCCGACAGAGAAGGCUUUGCCUCGGCUUUCGGGAGCCCAGGCAGGAGGGCGGCCGCAAGGCGGGGUGUCGGCCCUGGCUCAGGGGAAGAAAGUUUCUUAAAUAAGACGCUCAGGGAGAGUUUGUCUGAAACGAACCCUCCCACGGCACAAGUGAGCCUCCUUGGGGACUUCUCCAGUCAAGAAUGACCACAGCAGUGACGGGGGGCUGUGUCCCAGUGCCUCGGGAUCCUUCAGAAGCAGGACAGAAUUCUGACCAUGAAGGUGGAAGCAGAGGACCACUCGUAGGGGAAAGACUAUGCUGCCAGAUAAUUACAGACGGUGGCCCGAGGAGUAAGGACGAGGCGUUCAGCUCAUGUCGGGAACUUGCUGAAAGCAGAACCCACAGGUGACUUCACAGGUACCAGAGCUGGGAGACACCUCGGAAUGUUCCAGUACCUUAGACCAGCAUUAGGGAACCUCCAGAUGGGAGGCCAAGCAGCUGCCCCCCCCCCCAAAAAAAAAAGAAUUUCAAGCAGGAGAGAGAAGCAGCAGCCAUGACAGUGACAAAAGUGACCCACACUGCAGGCCAGACUUAAAGGAAGCUCUGUGAGGAAGAACCACGUCUCGUCCUUGGUAUUCUCUGUGGCUCCUGUGAGCACCGCAGGACUUGGGGUGGAGACUGGCUGUGGCUGUGGACGCUAUGGUCCAAGAGGACGGGCUCGCCGCUCAGCGAGGUCGUGGGUGGAGGCACACCUGUGACUGAAGACGUGGCCUGCCUUCUCUGGGACGGUGGCCGGCUCAUGCAGGAGGAAGGUGACCUUGUCCUUGCUGCCACCCCUUCCCCCCCGCCCCCCCCCCCACCCCAGGCAGCCUUGCCACAUUCACCCUGAUACCCAGAAGCUGGCCGUUGCUUCAUCCCCGUUGCCUCUGCCGCUGCCUGGGAGUGCCGUUGGGAGGGGAGGCAGAGAACAAGCAAGAAACGGGUAUGGUCGUGAAGCCGUCCGCGCAGUGUCCUGGUUAAGUACGGCAGGCGUAGGGACCAGCUCUCAAUAUGAACUUGUAGCUCUUUGAGGGCGAGGCCUAUGUCUGAAGCAGCUCUGUGUUCACAGUGCCUGGCUUGGCACCUGGCACGUGGUAAGGAUUCACCUGGCGUGGAGCAGGCAGGUGCUCCCGUAGUUACUGGCAGCCAGGGAGUUCGUGAAGGUAACAGAACGGAUGUUAGUGACCGUCCUGAAGUACCCCCUCCUCCGAGCCCCCCAACCCCCGAUGAGUGCCUCCUCCCCUUGGCAUAUGGCGAAGGCCUGGGUCCCAAGCACAGAACGCACCCAGCGCCCCUUUUCUUUCGUUAGCUGCAGAGUCCCUGCCUCCCCCGUGGACAAGGGACAAACCCUGUGUGCACACGCAGGGUUUUGUAUAGCCUCGGAGCUCUCUUCUGCUUUCGUUUAAAGCUAGUAAGUUAGAAAUGUUGUUGGCCAGAUCGUAAGAGCUAGUCCCAGAUGCUGGCCGUGCUCGUGGAACCCACAUCUCCUGGGAGCCCUGGCUGCUUCUAAACUGCUGGACCCCAAAGCCGGUGGAGAUGUGAGCACGCCACUGAGGGUUAAGGAGAGAAAGAAAAAGAAAGGGAGGGCCCUUGCCGGCCACCCCUCUAUCUGUUGCCAGGGGCCUUUGCGCUCACGCGAUUGUCCCGGGGCGGGAGCGCAGCCGCCGCCAGGGGUCUCCAGGCUUGGACGCUUGGAGCUGGAAUGUCAUUUCCAGAUUUCCAGUGGGUCUCGGGACUCCCCUGAUGACCAUCCCAGCGCUCGACCGGAUAGAAACUCAUGCAGGCAGGUAGAAGGGAUGGAAAUGGCUACUCAAGUGAAGGCAUUGGGGGUGCAGGGCGCUGGAGGGGCAGGUGACUCUAAGCUCAGUGCCCCCGGGGAACUGGCGAAGCUGCUCCAGAGGCUUCUCGAAAACGCUCGAGAAACCAGGUCUAGAAAGAAAGCCAUAAAGGGCUUCAUGAUACGUAAAGGCCCCCCGUUUCCCUGCUGCCCCCCACCCCGUGGAGGACACCAGUGGAGCCCCGCUUCCAGAAGGGCCAAGCCAGGCUCUUGGUUGCUUGCUCAGCAGCCGGUUCUCCUCACUGGGCCUCGGAGACACUGGGCGCGAGCGUGAGGCUCUCAGGGUAACAGCGGCCACCCUGCAUCUAGUGCCCGCACUGCCGAGGGCUUCAGGCACAAUGUCUCUCGUGACCCCGCCAACAGCCCUGGGAAAUAGGAUGUUCCUGUCCUGGCGCUAGAAUGAAGAAAGGAACUUAGAGAGGUUAAAUAAUUCACCCAACAGCACGCAGCUGCUAAGUGGAGGGGCAGAGGCUCAAAUCCGGGUCUGCCCCUCCGUGCCUGAAGGUUCUAUGUGGCCCGUUGUGGGAUUGUUCCUUGCGUCACUGGAAUCGCCAGCCCGCUUUCUGACCCUGUGUGUGGCCGCAUCGAAGUGGCCCUCCGUCCACAAUCCCUUCUGCAGCCUGUCAGAGCCAGAAAAUGGCCUCUAAGAGACCAAGUCUAGUAGGCACUGAACCUCCCGAUGCCGGUGACGGCCACGUUCGCGAGAGACCUCCCACUUCCUGCCGACAGUCACUGGAAUUUCUGCUUUGGGGAUUUGGGGAGACACUCAAGUCACGCAGACACAAGAAUCUAUGAUUCUGCUCUCGAUGCUGCGAGUCAGGGAAGCAGGCCGAGCCUCUAGAGCAGGAACGAGUUAGGUCUGCGCAGCCGUGUCUGGGCCUCAGCUGGAGCGGCCCAGGUGGCUGCAUUUGGCUAAGGGGGCCGGACUGUGGCCCGAGUUCGGGGGCCUUGGUUCUGUCUGCCAGCUGGAUUCCUCCUCUUCGUGUGGCAUCCACCGGAGUGGGGCCAAAAUGUCCAAAAUGGCCUUUUCACUCCUGUGUCCGGGGCUUCCGCGUUCUCCCUUGUGGCCUCUCUCUUCACAGAGUGACUGAAUCUUCGCACAGCGUUGCUCCGGGCUCCGCAAACCCACGAUCCACGCUCUUCCGUGCCACGGAACCGGCCUUGCCCCGCGUCCCUUCUGCAGGGGCGCUGCCGCCUGGGGGCUGCGUUGUAUCACAUGACCCUGCCUCCUCGCCCCUCCCCCCGACAGGUCAUCGGACCAGGACCCAGUAGAGGCUGGCCAAUGACAUUCGAAGUCCCCUGGCUGGCUCAAAAAUUCAAGGAAUGCCAGUUAGACCAAUCAGAUUCCCCUUUGGGGACAUUGGCACCGAAAAAUCAGACAGUAUCGUCACAGGGCGUGACAGGAUGUCGGGAGGGCCAGUGGGGCCUGGAUGGACCCAUGUGCCGGCCAAGAUUAAACUGAAGAAGAAACUCGGGACAUAGAAGAGAAACAGGCUGUGCCACGAGAGAACGUACUGAGCGUGGAGGGAACCACGAGCCUGUUACUGGUGAGGGGAGAAAGGAGGGACUCGCCAGAGCAGAGCCGAGACCUGUGAGAGGCCGAGGAGGAAGCCAGCCCCAGGGCACCCUGGUGCCUUCUGGUCCCCAGGCCCUGCCUGGCCAUGUGUGUUAUGGCAGCAAGCCCGUUACUUACUCCCUUGGCUGUCAGGUGGCUUUGAGGUGGGCAUGUGACUUAGUUCUGCGAAUAAAAGUUUAUGAGGAAAUGGCUUGAGGACCUUCUGGGAAGAAAUUUGCCUUUUGAUUAAAGGGAGGAUGGUGAAGAGGCCUGUCCCUCCUUCCUGCCUUGAACAUGGAUGUCGGAGGACAUGAUACUUAGGACUGUAGCCGCCAUCUUGAGACCCCGAGGCAACCAGACCGAAGGAAAAAGCCAACAUACCAAGGUUGGCCUAGCAGACAGACAAAAAGAGCCUGGGUCCUUGAUGAUAUCGUUGAGCCACUAUACCUAUCCUGGAACCACCGACUUCCAGUCUUAUUGAUAUAUUAAUUAAGUGUCCUUAUUUUCUAAGCAGAUUUCUGCUAUUUGGAACUAAGGCAUUCUUAACCAGUAUAGCAGUCUUCUGAACCCACCCGUCACCAACUCCUUUGAGCACCAUGGUUCUUGGUUUAGAUCCAAAUGGAAACCCACCCCAACCUUAGCCAGUGGAAAAUGUACUUACGUGGUAGGAAAUACAGGUCAAGAUUUCUCACAGCCUACAGAGCAAUUCUAGCGCUUAGUCCCAAAUCCCAGGGCCUGUUGGACACAAAUGAGGAAAGAUAGACUCAGGAAAGAUCUAGAUACAUGGCGAUGAGUCUUCUUCUAAAAUGGGGCUCAGUGAUGAAUUUGGGGAUGAACAAGUUCAGUGGAGGGAGAGAGGGAGAGCCUAAGCAUGGGCCAGAAAGCCAUGGAAAGCACACGGAGGGGGCAGCGAGCUUGAACGGGCAAAUGGCAGUGGGUCAGAUCACUUCUGCAGGAGGCCAGGGUGCACAGCAGGAUUUUCUAAGUGCCAAGUACUGGCUGGGAGGGGCUUAUGGCAACUGGAACUAAACUGGGGGGAAACGAGGCAUUUUAGCGAACCCUCCUGCCAGCCCUACUGGCAUUUUAGAUCCUCCGAGGAACAAGGUGGCCUGAACUGUGGCCCUUCCCUGUGUGCGGGCGCUGCCCCCCUGCCCCCCAUGCUCUUCACUCUGUCUCUUCACCUGUCCCCUUUUCUCCACCAUUUCUUCCUGUCUUCUCGGCAAAGCUAGGAGCCAGAAAUGCACAAGGCCUGAAUCUCUUCUGCUCAGUUGCAGAGUAAAGAUAGUGAGAGGCAAGGAUGUCUGUAGGAGACAUUGGAGCUUCAUCUGGGGAUCAUGUGAGUUAGCUUGAGAGGAGGGAAGCAGUGGGCUGCUAAGAACUAGAUGAAACUUUCUUCUGCCCCAACUCUGAUCGAGCCGUGGGGCUGGGGCCGGGGUGUGCUGCUUCAACACACCGCAAGAAAAUGUAUGGUCCUUCCUUCCCUUAUGAAAGAGAAGCCGAAUUCAAGAAGAAGUUGAACUCAAGAACUCUAGGCCUUCCUCUUUCGAUUUCCAGUUUCAGACACACAAGAAAGAUAAAGGGGCGUCCUCCUCAGACGUUCAGAACUUGAAGAAGUCAUCCGUUUGGCAUCUCCAGAUCGUCAGUAGUAGAGGUGUGGCCUAUGGAAGGUCAUCGAAUGAAUGGGGCCCAAACACGGAUGUGUCGCGAUGACAUUCGAAUUUGUGACCGGCAGAUUGUGCCGCUAAGCCUGUGUACCGCGGGGAUCCUCCCCACCGGGGGCCAAAACCAGGCCAACCCUGGUGUUUGUCUGCUGUGUUACUUCAUUCAUUUAGCAGAAGUGUACUGAAUGCCUAGUAGAAUUAUAAGCCAAGCAUAUAAAAGCAAUGGUACUAUUAGGAAAAUACGUUACUAAAGACAAAAACAAUUCCUGACAUAAUCAGAGAAAAGAAUGAAAGCUCAGGGGUGGAUGAAACAAAAAGUUUAACCCCCUCCUUUGAUGUGAUUGAUGCUUCAAUGUGAUAUACUCAGUAAAUGCUGACUUCCCCGCCCCACCCCCAGUUGCCCCAUACAUUGCAAGGGUUUCUCUGAAAUCCAGUAAGGAAAAGAACUGAAGGCUUUUCUUCCCUCUUGGUAAUCAAGGCUUUUUCUCCAGUAUGAAUUAGCCUGAUUACGGAUUAAACACCCUCCCACAGUCUGUACAGCACAAGAGUGUCUUUCCCGUGAAUUCUCCAGUGACAAGAAAAGGCUGCAUGAUCCCUAAAUGACUUUCCACAUUGAUUAUGCUCACAGGCUUUUCUCCCAAGGAUGAAUGAUCUCGUGUUCAAUACGCUCCGCGCUUCCCCUAGAUAGUUCUCCAUAUUCAUCACACGUGACCAACUCAUGUCCCCACUAAGCUAGCUGACGUCGUCUAAGGACGAGCUCGGGUUGAAGGCUCUCCCUCACCCAUUAUGCUCGCAGAGCACCUCCCUGCUCUGAGAUCCCAGAUGUCUAAUUAGCUCUGAGCUUCUCAAAGCGUUUUCACAGCCAUUACGCACAUGUGGUUUUUCUCCAGUGUGAAUUCUCUGACGUUGAAUGAGCUCUGCUUCCCUGAAAGCCCUCACAUUUAUUGCGUCUGUAGAGUUCCUGUUGUUUGUGAAUGAGCUGAUUCCGUGUGGUACUAGAAUACUGGCAGAAGCCUCCCCAGAUCAGGAUUCUCUGCAAGAGAAAUGUUCCAGCAUUCAGUAGGAUGGGAGCCCCCCCCCCCCCCGCUCCCCGUCAUGAAAGUUGCCUGUAUUCAUAAUGAGGUGUUCUCUCCAAUACGGAUACUGUAAUACUGAAUAAAUUCUGACCUCUGA